AAAAUUUCAAUCCAAAAUAUAUACUUAUACUUCUUCUCAUUUGUCGCACCAUACACUCAUACUUCUUCUCAUCUGUCGCACCAAAGAUUAUUAUUUAUAAUAGUGGCUAGUGGCUAAAUCUCAAGAAGAUUAGGCAUAAUAUAAAACUAUAAUAUAAAACUUAUUUUAAUGGGAUAAUUAAAACAGAAUAGAGUUAAAAAAUAUUACGGUUCUAGAAUUCGAGACAUAUCUAGCAACCUAUCACUAAAGUUUAAUAUGGUAUUAAUCGUGGUGGCCAAAAGUCUAUAUUAACAUCGCUAUGAAAAACACCAACCGUCUCUAGAGCAAAUAACAAAAGGCUUGGUGGUUGGUACCCGAGACCAAGUUCGAAUCCUAGUUGAUUCAUAUUUUCAGUUAAGUUUAUUUCUAAAUGAAAUAAACAAAACGGGUAGCGUGCUACCUAUCUCUUUCAAAAAAAAAAAAAAAUAUCGCCAUGAAAAACUUUCAUAUUUAUUUUCGUACAUUACAAUAUAUUUUCUGUAACCCUAUACAAAAAAAUAUAAAAAUACUUUUCUAUAUAUUUUGAUCAAUCAUAUAAAAAAAUAUUGAAUAAAUUA
rnacentral:lncRNA from 1 species